CCCCCCCCCCGAACGAGAGCGGUUCCCCAAGUCCACCUCUCCCACACCCGCCCCGCCGUGCCAGUCCAUUCCGAAGCCCUCCAGUGGCCUCGGGAUCACAUGACCGACCGCUGCACAGUUCCUCAUAAAAAGACGACAUCCGUAGAAUUGUGUCAUCUUUGUCGGUAGUCUCCCGUCCGCUGCGCAGUCCCGAGUGGCCGACACACCUCUUCUCUCCGGCCUCUCUCUCCAGUGCGAAGAAGAAAGAUGUGGAGGAGUCCAUUUUAUUGCAUUGUACAAACUUGGAUCGCACCAUGGCACCGUGAUCUCUCUCUUCAUACAAGCUUUUCAGGGGAGUUUCAUUCUUCUCCAGUAUUUCUUUUGUUCUCGUUUCUUCUCUUAUUGAGCUGCUCACUUUCAAGGUUCCGUUUGCAGGAAAGUUGAUCUUUUCCUUGAUUUCUCUGGUGCUGUGUUUCAUGUAUUGUUGGCAGAAGAUCUGAAUCUGAACUUUACCUAUGUGCCACCACUGGUUUGGUGACGCAUACUGAAACUCUCUCGCUCUCCAAGACUUCCAGAAAAGUGUAACAGCGUGAAUAAAGUGGUGGUCCUGUAAUAAUAAGCUAUUGUUAAAACGCCAGUGAUGCCGCCGGAAGGUGCUCAAUGUGGUAGUGACGGCGAGUGAGCAAAUGUUUAGAGAGGCCAUGUUUUAGUUUAUUUAAAUGAACAUUGCCUCUUCUUUUUGGACUUGUUGUAUCAUAUUUUUCACUUUUGGCAUUAAUUUUUUUAGGCGGUAGUGUUUUGGUCGGUCACGUUCUUCAAGAGUGGCCUUUCGCAUUGCUACGUGACAUGACAGAUAAAAACGUGAGAGAUUUGGAAAGAAGGCAUCAAUUUUGGGUUUCUUAACCCCUUUCAUCAGAUAUAAAAAAAGUGCUUAUCUGUGAUGUGGUAUAAAGCUGAGAACUACUGAAAGUUUUGUGUAGUCUAGCCAUCAUCUCUGAGGUAUCAACGUCCUCAUCAGAGCCACUCUCUAGAUCUUCAAAUUCGUUUUCUGACUCAUCAUCACGUUGUGAGCUUUCUAAAGCCAUCUCAGAACAAGUUUCCUGCAUUUCCUCCUCUAGCUCUGGUAAAACGCUAAGAUCAGCCUCUGGAUGAACAGGCUGCGAGUGCUCCUCACUCCCAGUAGGGUGUAUCUGAGACGGGGACGGGGGCUGCGAGUGCUCCUCACUCCCGGUAGGGUGUAUCCGAGACGGGGACGGGGGCUGCGAGUGCUCCUCACUCCCGGUAGGGUGUAUCCGAGACGGGGACGGGGGCUGCGAGUGCUCCUCACUCCCGGUAGGGUGUAUCCGAGACGGGGACGGGGGCUGCGAGUGCCCCUCACUCCCGGUAGGGUGUAUCCGAGACGGGGACGGGGGCUGCGAGUGCCCCUCACUCCCGCUAGGGUGUAUCUGAGACGGGGAUGGGGGCUGCGAAUGCUCCUCACUCCCGGUAGGGUGUAUCUGAGACGGGGACGGGGGCUGCGAGUGCCCCUCACUCCCGGUAGGGUGUGUCUGAGACGGGGACAGGGGCUGCGAGUGCUCCUCACUCCCGGUAGGGUGUGUCUGAGAAAGGGACGGGGGCUGCGAGUGCCCCUCACUCCCGGUAGGGUGUGUCUGAGACGGGGACAGGGGCUGCGAGUGCUCCUCACUCCCGGUAGGGUGUGUCUGAGAAAGGGACGGGGGCUGCGAGUGCUCCAGGGACAGAGGCUGCGAGUCUGUCUGACAUGGCCGUGUUCACCACACAAAACAUCUCAUCUGUUCGGAGCUGAUGAAGACGGUGUAAUCUUUAUUCUCUAGCGUUAGUUUAACAGAGAGAGAGAGAGAGAGAGAGAGAGAGAGCGAGAGAGAGAGAGAGAGCGGCUGUGUUGUGCGUUUAGGAUCAUGUAGGUGAAACGGUGGAAAGACAUGACGGGUUUAAUAUCCGGGUUUUUUAAACUCAACGGAAUCAUUUUAAUCUGCGCUGUUAACUUUCCGUAGCGCUCGAGCACACUUUUUAAAGUUUCAUUUCUAAUAAAAGGAGACCCGUUAGACAGCACGAUUUUCUUAGAGACACCGGAGAGCGGAAACACACGAACAUACUCGUUGUUUAUCACUAGCCCCUGUUCAAUUAGCGCGUCAACCAUUUCAACUCCGGCAGGAAAACCACCACUGCUUUGUUCAUCCGAGAAGCUGAUCUGAUGUUUACACCACCAACCUGAUCACUGAAAGCAGUGAGAACUUCUUCCAUUGCUAUGGAGUCAUGCGGCGUGCAUUUACACCCAUGUCUCAGGGUCAGGCGGGGGAAAUCUCCAUUUAGCUCCAUUUUGGAGCGAGUUCUGCCGACAAUAGUCGGCUCACACACUUAACCUCGCUAACACUCUUACUUUAGAACAAUAGACUAAAGAAGAAAACAGAAAGGAAAGUAUUUGAAGAAAGACUACAAACACUCAGAGACGUGCUCUAACCACCUGCACUCUCGCUACCCACAAUCCUCAGAGCGAGAGAGAGAGACAGAAAUAGACAGAGUGAGAAAG
ensembl:lncRNA